UACGUAGGGUGCGAGCGUUGUCCGGAAUUAUUGGGCGUAAAGGGCUCGUAGGCGGUUUGUCGCGUCGGGAGUGAAAACCCAGGGCUUAACCCUGGGCUGGCUUCCGAUACGGGCAGACUAGAGGUAUGCAGGGGAGAACGGAAUUCCUGGUGUAGCGGUGAAAUGCGCAGAUAUCAGGAGGAACACCGGUGGCGAAGGCGGCUUUCUAUCUCGAUUCUGACACUGAGGCGCGAAAGCUAGGGGAGCAAACGGG
rnacentral:rRNA from 1 species